AGAGUUAGCCGGUGCUUCUUCUGAUGGUACCGUCAUUAUCUUCCCAUCUGAAAGUGCUUUACAACCCGCAGGCCUUCUUCACACACGCGGCAUUGCUGGAUCAGGCUUUUCGCCCAUUGUCCAAUAUUCCCCA
rnacentral:rRNA from 1 species